CUGAAACUUAACGAUUAGAGGAUUGUCGACAUGUAGCAGUACAGCUAUUCAGUCGGAACAAUUGGUAUAUGGAUAUCUCACGUUAAUCACU